UGGCGUGUAGCAUCUGGGAUGCAACGGACAUGAAGGAAGAUAAGAGGUAGGUUCGAUUCCUACCACGCCAA
rnacentral:tRNA from 1 species